UACGGGGGGGGCAAGCGUUGUUCGGAAUUACUGGGCGUAAAGGGCUCGUAGGUGGCCAACUAAGUCGGACGUGAAAUCCCUCAGCUUAACCGGGGAACUGCGUCUGAUACUGGAUGGCUUGAGUUUGGGAGAGGGAUGCGGAAUUCCAGGUGUAGCGGUGAAAUGCGUAGAUAUCUGGAGGAACACCGGUGGCGAAGGCGGCAUCCUGGACCAACACUGACGCUGAGUGAGCGAAAGCCAGGGGAGCAAACGGG
rnacentral:rRNA from 1 species